GAAGGGCGCCUGCGCGGCCGCUUCUGCAGUGUAGGACGUGCAGCUGAGUCACCUGCCUUUUGAAAAAGUCGUGCGUUGCAGAGAUGUGGAUUUUGUGUUCCUAACAGUCUAGUUAUGGAAGAGAACUGUGGGGUUAUGAGGCCUAUUGAAGCUAGCCAUUCAGAGAUGGAGAAUAAAGAAGAGCCGUGUGUUUUGGACACAGAAAAGAAGGGAGAUGAAAAAAGGGAGCCUUACAGAAGGAAAACUUCUCCCUCUCUGGCCAAAAAUCACCCUGGUCAGUUUGCCAGUGUGGGGAAAAACAAAGCGAAUGAAAAGAAUAUCUUCCUUCAGC
rnacentral:lncRNA from 1 species